rnacentral:lncRNA from 1 species
GCGUUCGUGGCUUGCACAGCACGGGGCCGCUUUUAUGUCCCCGUAUGUCCUCAUGUGUCCGCCUUACUCCCUGUGACGUGGUGCCAUGUCCAGCGACCCUGUUUGUGGUUUACACGCGUGUUUUUAAAAGCACCCCCGGUCGCCUGUAAGCACAUCCAAUCGAGUGGCCUCCAUGAAGGAGCUAUUUGCUAGCCCGUCCGUGACCGUGGGUGUCGGCCCCUGGGGUUGUGUGGAAUUUCAGCUGUGAUGGAUUCUAAGGCUACCUGUGCUCUCUUCAGUUAGCAAGAGGUAUGACAAGCAGCCUGCCUAUACCCCAACCACUACAGACCACCAGCCGCACCCCAACUACCCAGCCCAGAAGUGUAAGUAUGACCCUGUCUCAGGGGAGCCGCUGGGAGUUACUCCUGGUGUGCAGAAGCCGUGUGUGUGUGUGUGUGUGUGUGUGUGUGUGUGUGUGUGUGUGUGUGUGUGUGGUGAGCGUGUGUGUCUCUGUGUCUGUGGGGUGUGCAGAAGCCCUGGGUGUGUGUGUGUGUGUGUGUGUGUGUGGUGAGCGUGUGUGUGGUGAGCGUGUGUGUCUCUGUGUCUGUGGGUGUGUCCUGUGCGUUGAGUGUUGUCUUCCUCUGCUUUGUCAGUCUUCUUGUCUAGUCCUCUUGCUGCCUUUGCAAACGGCUGUAGGUUUGGCCUUUCAGAGCCUUUGUUUUGUCUUAGCUGGACACUACGUCUCCCUGCCACGAUCUACUCUGUUAUCCAACAUCCUGCGCUCAGCCCACUCGAGGCUCAGGCCUACAGACCUUGGGAUCUCCAGUUCUGUUUCUUUCAUGUCCCCGCUGAUCUUGGCUCUCCCCACAGCUGGAAAGACUUGGUGACUUGUGACCGUAUCCAUGUCACCCCCUCAAAGACCUUUAGAAGAAGAUUAUAGAGUAACUGCUAGGAAUCGGAGGGUGCAUAGAAUACUGCCCCCUUCUGGCUGAAUGUAAAAGCAACCCGAGGGUGGGUUUUUGUUUUGUUUUGUUUUUGUUUUUGGGCACAUGCUUUGUGGACAGACCAUAAGUGAGUGCCUUUCCCCAGGGGCAGCAGUGGUCCCUCCUCACUGACCCUGAUCCAUCUGAAGCUUGACCCUCCACAGCUCAGGAGAGUGAGAGAAUCUGGGAGCUUACUAAGGGAUCUUAAUGGCUGGCCAUUAAAGCCAUCAUCGUGCCCACAGUUUGGUGCUGUUGUCCUCUUCUAAAUAGCUUCUGUGGCUCUUCUUUUAGCUUCUUCUUCACUUCCUCCGCCACUCCCUAACUUGCUGCCUGUUUGUCCUCAAAGCCGUCCCAGGCAUUGAGGUCUCUUACCUGUCACUGACCCCUAACAUGGUCCUUCCUGGGAGUCCAUGGAGUCAGUGUCCAGGUUAGCCGUCUCAUCUGGGCCUCAUUUUCUCUCUUACAAUCUCUUCCUGGUUUGGAUGUGAGUCUUACAAAUUAAUUAGGAGUUCUGUUAACACAAGGAGACCACAAAUGCCAGUUUCUGAGGGUCUUUCUCCAAGAAUCGAGGUCAGAGGCAAAGAGUCACUUGGCAGGGGUUCCCCAUCAACCCUCCCUCGCUAACCUUUACUCUGCAAGUGUGACACAUCUUGAUCUUCCAAUUCACUGUA